GGAAUUCGGCUUAGAGUUUGAUCCUGGCUCAGGACGAACGCUGGCGGCGUGCUUAACACAUGCAAGUCAAGGAGAACGAUCUGCUUCGGCGGAUUCAGUAAACUGGCGGACGGGUGAGUAACGCGUAGGCAACCUGCCCCUAUGUCUGGGAUAACAUCGAGAAAUUGAUGCUAAUACCGGAUACAGUCCGAUUAGUGCAUAUUAAUUGGACCAAAGGUGCUGCAAAGUACCGCAGAGGGAUGGGCCUGCGUUCCAUUAGCUUGAUGGUGAGGUAACGGCUCACCAUGGCGACGAUGGAUAGCUGAUCUGAGAGGGUGAUCAGCCACACUGGGACUGAGAUACGGCCCAGACUCCUACGGGAGGCAGCAGUGAGGAAUAUUGCGCAAUGGGCGAAAGCCUGACGCAGCAACGCCGCGUGGGGGAUGAAGCACUAUGGUGUGUAAACCCCUGUAGGUAGGGAAGAACGGCACAUAUUCGCAAGGGUAUGUGUGUGACGGUGCCUUCAAAGUAAGCUCCGGCUAA
rnacentral:rRNA from 1 species